rnacentral:rRNA from 1 species
CCGGCGCACGGGUGAGUAACGCGUAUGCAACCUGCCUGAUACCGGGGUAUAGCCCAUGGAAACGUGGAUUAACACCCCAUAGUACUUUUAUCCUGCAUGGGAUGUGAGUUAAAUGUUCAAGGUAUCGGAUGGGCAUGCGUCCUAUUAGUUAGUUGGCGGGGUAACAGCCCACCAAGACGAUGAUAGGUAGGGGUUCUGAGAGGAAGGUCCCCCACAUUGGAGCUGAGACACGGUCCAA